rnacentral:rRNA from 1 species
UACGAAGGGGGCUAGCGUUGUUCGGAAUCACUGGGCGUAAAGCGCACGUAGGCGGAUGUGUCAGUCAGGGGUGAAAUCCCGGAGCUCAACUUCGGAACUGCCUUUGAUACAGCACGUCUUGAGUCCGAUAGAGGUGGGUGGAAUUCCUAGUGUAGAGGUGAAAUUCGUAGAUAUUAGGAAGAACACCGGUGGCGAAGGCGGCUCACUGGUCCGGUACUGACGCUGAGGUGCGAAAGCGUGGGGAGCAAACAGG